ensembl:snoRNA
GCGUGAAUGAUGAUUUCCAUUCUUUUGUCGGAUACCCCUUCACUCUACAAUGAGUGAGAAAACUCAUUCUGACAUGC